CGCCACACGAUCAAUUUGUAAAUCGCUUUACUCGAUUGGAUUUUGCAUAGAAUUUUAUUAAAUAACAAAGGAAGCCCAAUUUUUCAAAAGUAAUUUUAAGAAGUAACGAAAAAUUAAUAUUGUGUAUGAAAAAGUUUUAUUUUUAAUAGAGAAAAUAACCUCAUUAAUUCUGAAAUGGAGGAAGUACUUAUUGGCGGAACUGACAUGAAAUUAAACAGAAAUAUGAGAAAAUUCAAUAUGAACAGAAAAAAAAGGGGAUAUAAAUCACAUAGUACAAGCAAGCACAAGUUCCUGUGUAAAUAUCAUAUCAAACCUAGCUCUUAGAAUUAUUUAUGAAGUUAAAAAUGUUACAUACAUAUGUACAUAUGUAUGUAAUUCUUAAAUCAAGAUAAUUCAAAAUUAAAUGAACGGAACAAAGUGGUUAUGUGAACUAUUAAAUGAAUUUGAAAUAGAAAUAAGAAGUUUUCGUAUUCCUUUUUAUUAAAUUGCGGAAGGUGUGGUACAAGUCACGAGAAUCUAAAAUAAAAAUGUGGACCAAAACAAAUAUGUAUAUGUAUAUAUAUUUAGAAGUUCAUAUUUUAUUCAAUAUUUUUCAUAAUUAAACAAAGUGAUUGUCAGGGACUGCAGUUAACAUUUUCAAAUUUGGAACAAUAAAAGGAAACAACUGGACUGACAUAUUGUAAUGAUCAUGUUAAGAUUACAUCUUUUUAAAUGUACUUUUAAACAUACUUACAUUUAAUGACAUGAGGAUUGAAUCAAACAAGAAGUUGAGAUGGGGAAUCUGCUGUUAACAUGAGAAACACAAAUAAGAAGAUGACCACUCAAAAAAUUAUAAGAAUGAAAAAGAACAAGAGCGAAAAAUGUAAAAUAAAGAACUUGAGUUCUUUUUACAAAUAAAAAAAAAAAGAUGACUUGAUCUUGAAACCACUUGAUUAUCAGCACUAAAAUAUUAAGAAGUGAGCAAACAGAAAACCAGCCAUUAAAAAAAAUCCUAGGAUAAAUUACAAACCUGGACAACAAACAUACAGAUUAAUAUGGAGAAAUGGUUCCGAUUUCCGAUUAUGAAUGCCUUCUGCGAGGAAAAUUUGUAAAAUAUUUUGUAAAUUAAUUUACAAAUUAUGAGGAAAAUUUUUGUGCGAACUAACUCUUAAUGUAACUAAUUUAGGUAACUUUCUCAAAUUGGCGUAAAAUAACCAAAAUUAUGGCAAUAAUUCUACAAAAAAAUUUCAAUAAUUUGUAAACUGCAUAUUAAAACUUUUGAUUCGCACUAUGUAUGCUUGUAAAAAUACAAUGUAUUAUAAAACUUGUGUGGCGUUGCACUAAAUAUAAACAGGAAUAUAAAUGACAAUUUGUUAUAAAUACAUUAUAUAUGAAAAUAUGUAAAGGGAAA